rnacentral:lncRNA from 1 species
AUUCUCGAAACAGUCAUUUUUUGCACUCUUUUGAUGUUGCCACUGUAUGCCAUGUUUUGCAAGCUUUUGAUGUUGCUAUGUGGAUGCCUUAUGUUCCUGUUCUUUUGCGGAAAUUGAAAAUAUUUUCUCCUAUAAUAGCAGGUUAGUUAAAAGUUUAUCUUUUUACAGGUACUCCAUUUAUCAACUUAAAUAAAAAUAUAUUCUUUCUGCUGUUAUAAUUAUUGUUAUGACUAAAGACUAUUGUGUUCAUUUUUAGCUCCUAAAAGAUGAUGUAACUUUCCUCUAUUGAUCUUGUUGGAAUAACCACCUUAAACUGAUAGAUUCAAAAACUACAAUACGAAAUAACAGUUAGUAAUUAAAAACUUGUGAAAUUAAACCUGUUUGGUAAAACUGUUUGCCUAUUUUGAUUUAUAUUUCUUCUGCAAAUUUCUCUAAAUUAAAACUAACAAGAUAUAAUUAAUCCUCUUAUAUCUAUAUUUUCAACCAUAGAAAAACUUUGAUUAUCCUUGAUUAAUGUUUAGUCCAUGAUUUCACAUUAUCUAUCUAGAAAAAGAUGAUGAGAAUAAUCCUAUACUAUAUGCAAAGCUUGGGAAAGUUUUAUGCUAUAUAAACUUUACGAAUUCUUAUAAUUUUUCAUCAAAUUUUAUUUUUGCAUCAUACUAUAUUUUCUUUGUCUAUAUGAGUUAAAAUAUCGAUUCUUACAGUCGCAAUCAUAUGUCCAUAUAGUAUCUACUCAAGAUCUACAUGUGAAUCUCUUGAACUAAAUUUCUCCAACACAAGUUUAAACUAAAUUUAAAAAAAAAUCAUAAUUUUUUGUCCAGAUUGAUUAAUCCUUUGACAUUACCGUCACAAUUUCGAAUCAAUUUCUUUAUGAAUAAUCCUCCUUUAGUCUUAUAUAUAAUAUUGUUUGAGUUGUAUCUUAUGAAUUACCA